UGGUAGUGAAUGCUGUACAGAGGAAGACU
rnacentral:piRNA from 1 species